UGGAUGGCGCUUGAGCAAAAUACUUAGACAAUACCAUAUAUUUAUUUUUUUUUAAAAAAAAUAUAUGUGUAGGCUGGCGUGAUAAUAGCAUUGAAGGUUAUAAGCGUAAGCUUGACUGGAGCUGUUAUUAGUGCAGAUCUUGGUGAUAGUAGCAAAUACACAAGUGAGAAUCUUGUGGACCGAAGUGGAAAAGGGUUUCACGUCAACAUCAUUUGACUGUGAGUUAGUCGGUCCUAAGCUAAAAUUGAAAAAUUUUUAUUCAUAUAUAGCGAAAGGGAAAUAGAUUAAUAUUUCUAUACUAUCUAUGGAGAUAAUAUAGGAUAAUAACUAUAUUAUGCAUGGUAACAUAAAUGAAAUUAACUACAAUAUAACAAGUUUUGGGUAGAGAUAUCUUCUCUAUUUAAGUUAUUAAAUCUAUGGAAAUUGCUCAGCAAGAGAUAUAGAUGAAAUUUUAACGUAGAGUACUAACAUUUUGUUGGUAUCCAAAGUGCUUGUUAUAUUACUUAAAAAGUUAAUGGAAGCAUAAUAAAUUUCAUAGAAUAACCGUACCCAUAUCCGCAACAGGUUUCCAAGAUGUUUAGUCUCUGGUCGAUGAAAUAAUGUAGGUAAGGGAAGUCGGCAAAAUAGAUUCGUAACUUUGGGAAAAGAAUUGGCUCUU
rnacentral:ncRNA from 1 species